GGAUCUUUAGUAUAUUUAGUAUGUCUAAUUGCAGAUUAGAAGGUUUUUGGUCUU
rnacentral:tRNA from 1 species